AUUGAACGCUGGCGGCAGGCCUAACACAUGCAAGUCGAACGAGUGGCGGACGGGUGAGUAAUGUCUGGGAAACUGCCCGAUGGAGGGGGAUAACUCCUGGAAACGGUAGCUAAUACCGCAUACCAUCAGAUGAACCCAGAUGGGAUUAGCUGGUUGGUGGGGUAACGGCUCACAAAGGAGACGAUCCCUAGCUGGUAUGAGAGGAUGACCAGCCAUACUGGGACUGAGACACGGUCCAGACGCCUACGGGAGGCAGCAGUGGGGAAUAUUGCACAAUGGGCGCAAGCCUGAUGCAGCCAUGCCGCGUGUAUGAAGAAGGCCUUCGGGUUGUAAAGUACUUUCAGCGGGGAGGCGUUACCCGCAGAAGAAGCACCGUCUAACUCCGUGCCAGCAGCCGCGGUAAUUC
rnacentral:rRNA from 1 species